rnacentral:rRNA from 1 species
CCGGCUAACUACGUGCCAGCAGCCGCGGUAAUACGUAGGGUGCGAGCGUUGUCCGGAAUUAUUGGGCGUAAAGGGCUCGUAGGCGGUUUGUCGCGUCGGGAGUGAAAACCUUGGGCUUAACUCAGGGCUUGCUUUCGAUACGGGCAGACUAGAGGUAUGCAGGGGAGAACGGAAUUCCUGGUGUAGCGGUGAAAUGCGCAGAUAUCAGGAGGAACACCGGUGGCGAAGGCGGUUCUCUGGGCAUUACCUGACGCUGAGGAGCGAAAGUGUGGGGAGCGAACAGGAUUAGAUACCCUGGUAGUCCACGCCCUAAACGAUGUCAACUGGUUGUUGGGUCUUCACUGACUCAGUAACGAAGCUAACGCGUGAAGUUGACCGCCUGGGGAGUACGGCCGC